rnacentral:rRNA from 1 species
UAACACAUGCAAGUCGAGCGGUAGCACAGACAUUUUGCUCUCGGGUGACGAGCGGCGGACGGGUGAGUAAUGUCUGGGAAACUGCCUGAUGGAGGGGGAUAACUACUGGAAACGGUAGCUAAUACCGCAUAAUGUCGCAAGACCAAAGUGGGGGACCUUCGGGCCUCAUGCCAUCAGAUGUGCCCAGAUGGGAUUAGCUAGUAGGUGGGGUAACGGCUCACCUAGGCGACGAUCCCUAGCUGGUCUGAGAGGAUGACCAGCCACACUGGAACUGAGACACGGUCCAGACUCCUACGGGAGGCAGCAGUGGGGAAUAUUGCACAAUGGGCGCAAGCCUGAUGCAGCCAUGCCGCGUGUGUGAAGAAGGCCUUCGGGUUGUAAAGCACUUUCAGCGGGGAGGAAGGCGAUAAGGUUAAUAACCUUGUCGAUUGACGUUACCCGCAGAAGAAGCACCGGCUAACUCCGUGCCAGCAGCCGCGGUAAUACGGAGGGUGCAAGCGUUAAUCGGAAUUACUGGGCGUAAAGCGCACGCAGGCGGUCUGUCAAGUCGGAUGUGAAAUCCCCGGGCUCAACCUGGGAACUGCAUUCGAAACUGGCAGGGCUAGAGUCUUGUAGAGGGGGGUAGAAUUCCAGGUGUAGCGGUGAAAUGCGUAGAGAUCUGGAGGAAUACCGGUGGCGAAGGCGGCCCCCUGGACAAAGACUGACGCUCAGGUGCGAAAGCGUGGGGAGCAAACAGGAUUAGAUACCCUGGUAGUCCACGCCGUAAACGAUGUCGAUUUGGAGGUUGUGCCCUUGAGGCGUGGCUUCCGGAGCUAACGCGUUAAAUCGACCGCCUGGGGAGUACGGCCGCAAGGUUAAAACUCAAAUGAAUUGACGGGGGCCCGCACAAGCGGUGGAGCAUGUGGUUUAAUUCGAUGCAACGCGAAGAACCUUACCUGGUCUUGACAUCCACAGAACUUUCCAGAGAUGGAUUGGUGCCUUCGGGAACUGUGAGACAGGUGCUGCAUGGCUGUCGUCAGCUCGUGUUGUGAAAUGUUGGGUUAAGUCCCGCAACGAGCGCAACCCUUAUCCUUUGUUGCCAGCGGUCCGGCCGGGAACUCAAAGGAGACUGCCAGUGAUAAACUGGAGGAAGGUGGGGAUGACGUCAAGUCAUCAUGGCCCUUACGACCAGGGCUACACACGUGCUACAAUGGCAUAUACAAAGAGAAGCGACCUCGCGAGAGCAAGCGGACCUCAUAAAGUAUGUCGUAGUCCGGAUUGGAGUCUGCAACUCGACUCCAUGAAGUCGGAAUCGCUAGUAAUCGUAGAUCAGAAUGCUACGGUGAAUACGUUCCCGGGCCUUGUACACACCGCCCGUCACACCAUGGGAGUGGGUUGCAAAAGAAGUAGGUAGCUUAACCUUCGGGAGGGCGCUUACCACUUUGUGAUUCAUGACUGGGGUGAA